rnacentral:misc_RNA from 1 species
UUUCCGUAGGUGAACCUGCGGAAGGAUCAUUAAAAAUGAGACCUGACUCAAGGUCUAUUAAUAUCCUACCCUUUGUGAAUUUGUUUGUUUUAAUAUGUGUCUUUCCCUGUUUGGUUUGAAGCUUUGUUUAAAAGUUCGAACCUUCAGGGGAAUGGCAAACUUUUUUUUAAAAUUAAACUUUUUGUAUUCAUUUGUCUAAAAUUAUUUUUAUAAUAUAAAAACAACUUUUGACAAUGGAUCUCUUGGUUCUCGCAACGAUGAAGAACGCAGCAAAAUGCGAUAAGUAGUGUGAAUUGCAGAAUACGUGAAUCAUCGAAUCUUCGAACGCAUAUUGCACUUUUUUGUUUACCAAAAAGUAUGUCUGUUUGAGUAUCAGUAAAAUAUUCUCAUAAAAACUUUUGUUUUUAUGGUUAUGAGUGUUUUACAACGAUACAAGUUGUUUCACUUUAAAUUCUUUGUCUUGUAAAAAAUCAUUAAAACUGAUUUUUUUUAAAAAUUGGAUAAAAUUUUCCCGUAAAAAGGAAUAACCUAAACAAUUUUAAAUUAAAUUGGUUUGAUUCUUUUAAGACUUAAAGGAAAAAAAGUAAAAAUUAACCUGAUCUCAAUCAGAUAAGAGUACCCGCUGAACUUAAGCAUAUCAAUAAGCGGAGGAAAAGAAACUAACAAGGAUUCCCUUAGUAACGGCGAGUGAAGCGGGAAGAGCUCAAAUUUGAAAUCUUCAAGGUUUACCUUGACGAAUUGUAGUUUAAAGAAGUGUUUCUGUUGGAGUUUUGGUAAAGUUCUUUGGAAUAGGACAUCAUAGAGGGUGAGAAUCCCGUAUUUGACCAUUAUUUCCAGCUGUGUGAUACACUUUCAAAGAGUCGGAUUGUUUGGGAAUGCAGUCCAAAUGGGUGGUAAAUUUCAUCUAAAGCUAAAUAUUGGCGAGAGACCGAUAGCGAACAAGUACCGUGAGGGAAAGAUGAAAAGACUUUGAAAGAGAGUUAAACAGUACGUGAAAUUGUCAAGAGGGAAGCGUUUGACACCAGUGUUGUUUUCUCGAAGAUCAAUUAAAAUGAAGGGAUUUUGUGUUGUAUUGACUUAUCAGCUUUCUGCACUUUUUUCUUAUCUUUUUUAAUGCACUUUUCGUUUAACAAGUCAACAUCAUUUCUUUUGUUGUAAAAGGGUCAUUGGAAGGUGGCUUUUUCUUCGGAAAAAGUGUUCAUAGCCUUUGGCUUCUGCAAUCGGAGAGAUUGAGGUCUGCAGCGUAGAUCUUCGGGGUUAGAUACAUUUGUGCUAAGCUAUAGUUCUUUAUAGACAACUUGUUGACUAUAAUAGUCUGUACUUACUCGCUUAUGCUAUUUUACCUACGCUUAGGAUGUUG